GUGCUGGUUACCGGAAGUUCACAAGAACCAGUUAAGCGAAGGUAACACCCUACAACAUGAACAUGAACUGAUCACUGAGACUGCAUUGCGUAUGAAAGACAGUUUUAUUUACUAGCCCGACAGGCUAAUGCAGUAUAGAUUUAUGAUAGCCCAACCUCUAAAAUUGGUAGCCCUGAGCGUUGGGCAAUGGUAAUUGCACACCCCUGCCGGGGGCAGGGCGGGUCACAAUGGGAGAUCAAAGUUUUACAUGGGAAUACAUUGGAAAAAUCUUCUCCAGAACCACUGGGCCAAGAAAGAUGAAACUGAUGUAGAAACAUCUUCAGAGAAGACGAAUGUCACCUUCGUCAGAAGCAGAUUUUUACUGCCAGGCUGGCUUUGACCAGAAAGGUUUUGAGAUCAAAUUUAUAUCAGACUAUAAAAACAUCCAAAUGGCUAGCUCAGAUGUGGAAGUGGAAUCGGACCCUUUUAGUUGGGAAUUCAAUGGAAAUUCAUUUGACAGUGAUGAUGAUGAUGAGAUUAAUUCAGCUUGUUGUGAUCCUCCUGGACAUCCAAGUGUUUUCGACAUUGAUGAAGAUUUUGUCAAUCUCUCUCUUGGACCAAACCAAGAAAUGAUGGUUUUAAGAAGAUUAUAGGAUAUGUCAUAGAAUACGAAGACCCCACCACUUGAGGCAGGCUAAUGACUACCCAGUAGAUGAGUGUGUUUAUGAGGUGAAGGGAUUAAAAAAGGACAAGGAAUACAACUUCCACAUACAGGCCAAGAAUCUUGAAGGUUUUCAAAUUAGUGAGUCUAGUGAUGUGAUUGGUCCCAUAACUCCCAAGCCCAAAUACACCAAGGUUUUGCCACCUGGUGUACCAGAGGCUGUCAACAAUUCUCUAACUUUUUCUGAAAUGGGAACCACCUAAACAUAAUGGUGGCUGUAAAAUUACAGACUACCUUGUAGAAGAGAGGUUUAAGGGAACAGAGAAAUGAGUACCCCUGCACUGACCCCUCUUUACUGUCACCGAUCUUCCUCAGGACUCAGAGUGGGAGUUUAGAGUUACAGCUGAUAACUUUGCUGGAAACUGUGAGCCCAGUCUGUGCUCACCAGCAUACAAAAUCCAGGAGAAGAUUGAGUCUUUUGCAAUUGGGCAGGAUGAGGAAUCACACCAAUCAUUUGUAAAUGAAAGCAGCAGUCAUGAUGUUGUCAAUGAGAAUGAAUUUUAAAUAGGACAUGAUACAGGGCCACUUUUAAGUGAUGAAGCAGACGAGUAUGAUGAUGGUUAUGAUGAUGAAUCAUACCAUCCUUCAAGCGAUGAAAAAAGCUGUGAUGAAGAUACCAUUAAUGAUCUUGAUAUGCCCAGUAAGCCUCUCAAAUCUGAAAUGCAGCAGAAACAAGCUGCACUUGCAAGUGACAGCGAAAAGGACAGUGAAUGUGAAGAUGAUCAUGAUGAUGUCGGCAAAGUUUUACCACAGUCAGAGAAGCAAAAGACCAGGUUUUUAGAGGCCAAAAACAUCGUCUGGAAACUAUGAUAAUAAAAAACAUUCAUGUCUCUUUUGUGAGAAGUUUUGCCAGCAGGCAGUUGAUAGUAUGCAUAUCAUAUAAGCCCAUAGCUCUUUAAGUACAAAAAAUUGUGAGAUUCAUUUUUGCAUAUAGGUUCAGGAUGGAGCUGAAUAUUGAAAAAAUAUAUCCUAUAAAUUUUUUUUUCAUGGACAUGUAGCAGACAGCUGUUUGCAUAAUUUAAGCAAGUAAUUAUUUUUUAACCAAAAUUUGUGAAAUUUAUCGCUCAUGACCCAUUGUUCAUGCAAGGUUUACCUAUUUAUAUUGACACUGCAACAGGCCCAUAGAACCCCCCCCCCCCCCACUUUUUCUGAGUAUAGUAUUUUGCUAUAGUAAAGUAUCCUUUAUAUCCUGGUUGCUCCUCCCCCCCCUUUUUGUUGCAAUAAGGUCAGUUCAGUAAAUAAUGUUUUUUUUUUGCUUGUCAGAUAUUUUUUGAAGUCCCCCCUACUUUUGAAACCCUUGCUAUGGGCUGUAAAUUGAAGUUUUAAAAAAUCCUUUACUGGUGAACAUCUAGCAGGCAAACUAGCAGGCAUAAAAUUAAAUAUGAAGAUUAUGAAUAGUAAUCAAACUCAAAAGUCCAUUAGAAUAAUCCAUAUUCGUAGCAAAGCAAACAUGGACCUCUAAAAUUAAUCUUAAUUAAUGCUUAGCCCUCUAAUUGAAGGCUUCUUCAUGUUUCAGGCCCAUGAAAAGGCAGAGUUAGUCAUAAAUUAGAAUGUUUUAUACAGUAUUAGCCAGUAUACCUUAUCAUCUUUACUUUUGAACUUCUAGGAGUUCAGCUGCAUCAAUAUGAUAAUAAAUAUAGAAUUCUUGUGAAAAUUUACGAUUUUUGUUGCAUGGGUCUAGAUUUCUAGAUCCAGGCGGUUUUGAAAUGACCACAGCCUGAGAAAUUCAUAAUACUCAGGUAAUAGUCAUAGCCUAGGGCCUUUUGUUGCAUUUUAAACACAGGAAGUUAUUAACUGCGUGAUAUUUAUAUUUCUUGCUUGGUUUUCAGCUUUAAGCUUAAAGAGUUUUUUUUAUUUCAAAACUUGUAUGUUGUUUAAUGCACUAAGAAAAUGCCACUAUAUUUUGCACAAAUACUGACUGAUUGUCCUUGGUUGUUCUGUGAAAAUAAACUUAUUUUGGAUACCUUAAAAAUUAACAGCAAGAAUUAUCUAUUAACACUUGGCUUAUACAUGUGUAUCUUAUUUCAUGUCAGCAUUCUUUUUAUGUACUUUUUUGUAUAGUUGAUGCAAUUAAAUUGUUUCAUGCAAACAA